rnacentral:rRNA from 1 species
AUUGAACGCUGGCGGCAUGCUUUACACAUGCAAGUCGAACGGCAGCGGGUCCUUCGGGAUGCCGGCGAGUGGCGAACGGGUGAGUAAUGCAUCGGAACGUACCGUGUAAUGGGGGAUAACGUAGCGAAAGUUACGCUAAUACCGCAUACGCCCUGAGGGGGAAAGCGGGGGAUCGCAAGACCUCGCGUUAUACGAGCGGCCGAUGUCGGAUUAGCUAGUUGGUGGGGUAAAGGCUCACCAAGGCGACGAUCCGUAGCGGGUCUGAGAGGAUGAUCCGCCACACUGGGACUGAGACACGGCCCAGACUCCUACGGGAGGCAGCAGUGGGGAAUUUUGGACAAUGGGGGCAACCCUGAUCCAGCCAUGCCGCGUGCGGGAAGAAGGCC